rnacentral:lncRNA from 1 species
CAGUGGUGUGAGUGGUCCUUUGACCUGUGGUGUCAUUGGCUAUUCACAACAAGGCUACUGGGUUUAACUGCAUCUUCUCUUGGUCCCUAGCCAUUUAGGUGCUUGCUGUGUAUGUUAGCUUCAGUAGGUUCAGAUUCAUUAUUUGGAGUAGGAUGCACUUAGAUUGGAUCUAUCGAUUUUGAUAGAAAAAGAGAAGUCCUAUGCAAUUUGUGA